rnacentral:rRNA from 1 species
UGGGGAAUAUUGCACAAUGGGGGAAACCCUGAUGCAGCGACGCCGCGUGAACGAAGAAGGUAUUCGUAUCGUAAAGUUCUGUCCUAUGGGAAGUUAAUGACAGUACCAUAGAAGAAAGCUCCGGCUAAAUACGUGCCAGCAGCCGCGGUAAUACGUAUGGAGCGAGCGUUGUCCGGAAUUAUUGGGCGUAAAGGGUACGCAGGCGGUUUAAUAAGUCGAAUGUUAAAGAUCGGGGCUCAACCCCGUAAAGCAUUGGAAACUGAUAAACUUGAGUAGUGGAGAGGAAAGUGGAAUUCCUAGUGUAGUGGUGAAAUACGUAGAUAUUAGGAGGAAUACCAGUAGCGAAGGCGACUUUCUGGACACAAACUGACGCUGAGGUACGAAAGCGUGGGGAGCAAACAGG